rnacentral:misc_RNA from 1 species
UGCGUCUAGUAAUGCAUUGCCUUGUUGAUCUUGGGUGUAUGCAGUUGUCAUGAGAGCGGAACGAAUCAUUGCUGGUGACCAGUAUGGGUGAGCUCCUUUGAGUAAAGCUGCUAAACCGGAUACAUGUGGACACGACAUAGAUGUUCCUGAAGCAAUAUUGAAUUGGGUGUGGCGUUGGUCAGAUGAUAGCUCAGUAGGUGCCACACCAUCAGGCCAAGCAGCUAAGAUGUUAACUCCAGGUGCAAUCACAUCCGGCUUGAGAACAAAA